GCACAAGCAGCGGAGCGUGUGGUUUAAUUCGAUGUUACACGAAGAACCUUACCAGGGUUUGACAUGCAAGUGGUAGGAAGCCGAAAGGUGACCGACCCUUCGGGGAGCUUGCACAGGCGCUGCAUGGCUGUCGUCAGCUCGUGUCGUGAGAUGUUCGGUUAAGUCCGCUAACGAGCGCAACCCUCGCUGUGUGUUAUAUGUGUCACACGGGACUGCCGGUCUUAAGCCGGAGGAAGGUGGGGAUGAUGUCAAGUCAGCAUGGCCUUUAUAUCCUGGGCUACACACACGCCACAAUGGCCAACACAAUAGGUUGCUAAGCCGCGAGGUGGCGCCAAUCCAUAAAGUUGGUCUCAGUUCAGAUUGUAGGCUGCAACCCGCCUGCAUGAAGAUGGAGUUGCUAGUAGCCGCAGGUCAGCUAUACUGCGGUGAAUACGUUCCCGGGGCUU
rnacentral:rRNA from 1 species